rnacentral:hammerhead_ribozyme from 1 species
AUCCAGCUGACGAGUCCCAAGUAGGACAAAACGCGCUUGUCCUGUAU